rnacentral:lncRNA from 1 species
GACAGACGCCUCCGCGAGAUCCCCAGUGACCCUCCGUACACCGGUCUCCGGCACAAAUCAAGUCUCCCCAACCCGAUACUAGCACCAUCCCUCGACCCACAUGUACGCCGCGACACACCUAUAGUGUGGAGCACGACCACGGAGAAACCACACCACCCCCGCGCAGAGCCAGACGACAUGGAGAGUGACCCACCAGCGCCGCCGAG